rnacentral:rRNA from 1 species
CCUUGUACACACCGCCCGUCACACCAUGGGAGUGGGUUGCUCCAGAAGGCGUUAGUCUAACCACAAGGGGGACGACGCCCACGGAGUGGUCCAUGACUGGGGUG